GCGUCCUCAGAGAAGUGGCAGAAAAAUAAAAGUAAAAAUAAAAAUAAAAAAAUAAUCCGGCGGAAACAGUUCGCAUUCCCCCGCUUCCUUAUGAAACUCCCCUAAUCCUUCUCUUCUCUAGUUUCUACAGCACUCGCGAGGAAGCUCUCGAAUUUAUUGUGUUUCGGGCGGUCGCCGGUGGCUUCUUCGUGAAGAAAAGUUUUGAAAGAGUCGCUAUAGAAACUUCUUCGCCUUCUUCUACGGCGUUGUCCCGGCCAAAUCAGGAGUCACGACGGGAGGUCGCCGGUUGCCUUGAAGCCUUGGCUCAGAUUAGGAGUCACGACGGGAGCUCGACGGUCGGUUCGUGAAGAAGAUUUUGCAAUUUUAACUAUUCGGUAUCAAGCUGUUGGUUUAUGCUGGUGAAUAUGACUUCAGAUGCAACUGGCUUGUUGAAGCAAUGACAAAUGGGUAAUGUGUACAGUCAGUUUAGAGAGUAUAGUCAGUUUAGAGAGGAAGAGCAUGCUCCUAAAAGAUGGAAUGCAGUUCACUUAUUUUCCUUUUCAGUGUGAUGCUACUAUGGGAAAGAAGGUUGGCAAGAACCUUAAUGUGAAGCCUGCAACAUGCUCAAUGUGAAGCCAAACGUGUAAGAUUAUUCUAUAUCAGGACUACAUAGGUCAACUAAGGCUUCGUUUGGGACGGUUUUCUUCCUGCUUCUUAAAACAUCUUUGUAGUACAAAAAUUAAAAUUUUUUUUAUUAAAAAAAUUGUUUUAAGAAUCAUUAAAAAAAGCCAUAUCAAACGAAGCCGAAGUAUCUGUUAAGAAUCUUUUUAAAAUUUACGAAGAAUAGGAGCUUCUUCAGCAGCUAGAAUAAUGUUAAGUUUUUUGUACCCAUCUUGCUCUUGGAAGAAAUCUUCAAUGCUUGAAGCUUAUAAGUUUGCUUUGUGUUACUAUUCUAAUCACUCAUGUAAAUUAUCAAUGAGCAAUGUAUAUGAACACAUAUGUUGAAUUAAUCAAUGUUGAUUUAUAAUA